GAAAUGGUGUCGCACGUUUAUAUCUGUGCAAGAUUUAUAGUCGAAUUUUUGUACACAGGAUAAAAAAAUAAAAAAAUAAAAAAAUAAUUAACAUCUUAGUAAAACUAAUACAUUUUUUGCUACACUCGGAAUCUAAAAUUGUGCUUACGUAUCUGUAUUAUAGGGCUUUGCCCAUUUUAUUCAUCGAAUAAAAUAUUAUUAUUGUUAUUAUUAUAGUAAAUUUUAACAGGCGUCAGACUCU